AGAUAGUGAAAGGCUAUGCAUGGCCGCAUUAAAAUCUGUUGGUGUGUAACCAACAUUGGAUGGUGCUACCGAUGCAUUAUAUGCUUGCUGUGGUGGUCUUGAUCCAAGAAUACCAACUUGGCCUGGAGGUCUAGGCAGCCUUGAGGCUGCUGGAUAAGGACAUGGAGGUUGGGCCCACCCCGCCCAAGGAUUAAAGAAGGGAUGCUGGUAUGGUGGGUAGGUUUGGUACUGCUGCUGUUGUGGUGCACCACCCCUUCCAGCGCCUGCAGCCCAUGCACCACCACGUCCGUCUUUUCCACCGCGGUUGUUGUUGCCUCUGCCUCUGUUGUUUUUCUUGCCGCGAUUGGUAUUAUUACAACCCUAUGAUGAAGUGAUGUUGCUGUUAUGGUGUUGCGGCUGUGAAGAGAAGCCUUCAUCAACGGUUAAGAGGGCAG
rnacentral:lncRNA from 1 species